UACGUAGGGGGCAAGCGUUGUCCGGAAUCAUUGGGCGUAAAGCGCGCGUAGGCGGCCCGGUAAGUCCGCUGUAAAAGUCCAGGGCUCAACCCUGGAAAGCCGGUGGAUACUGUCGGGCUAGAGUCCGGAAGAGGCGAGUGGAAUUCCUGGUGUAGCGGUGGAAUGCGUAGAGAUCCGGAAGAACACCGGUGGCGAAGGCGGUCUGCUGGGCAGUUCUGACACUGAUGCGCGACAGCGUGGGUAGCAAACGAGGA
rnacentral:rRNA from 1 species